rnacentral:rRNA from 1 species
GCUCGCAAGAGUGAACGAGCUAACUGAAAGAAUAAGAAUCUAACGUGAGGCAGUGGGUUAAAAAAAAAACAAAAAAUUAAGUUUUACUUAAUUUCUAUUUUAAUAUACUCCGCUUUAUCUUGUACCUCGCUAAUAGUGUCGUCCAAAAACUGGUGCCAGAAGACUCGGUAACACCAGAGACGCGAACGUUAAUCAUCUUGAAUGGGCAUAAAGGGUUUGUAGGCAGCUUUAUACGUGAAAUAUUAAAUUUAGCGCUAUUUGUAUAAUCCAAAAAAUUAUAAAUUUAGCUUCCAAAUAAAAAUAUUUUUCAUACUUAAAGAUAGAAUCUAAUAGAGGUUGAGAUAAUACUUAGAGUAGUGGUCAAAUACUUAGAUACUAAGUGGAAUACUAGAAGCGAAGGCUCUUUUCCUUUAAAGAUUGACGCUGAGACACGAAGGUGCGGGUAGGAAAUAGGAUUAGAGACCCUAGUACUCCACACUGUAAACGAUGAAUGGAAGAGGCUUACCUGUUAAAGAGUAAGUAUCGAAGUGAACUACGUUAACCAUUCCGCCUUGCUAGUAUACUUGCAAAAGUGAAAGCAAAAAAAUUAGUCGGUCCUAAAGCAAACG